GGCGCGAAAGCAUGGGGAGCGAACAGGAUUAGAUACCCUGGUAGUCCAUGCCGUAAACGAUGAAUACUAGGUGUAGGGGGUAUCGACCCCCCCUGUGCCGCAGUUAACACAAUAAGUAUUCCGCCUGGGGAGUACGACCGCAAGGUUSAAACUCAAAGGAAUUGACGGGGACCCGCACAAGCGGUGGAGCAUGUGGUUUAAUUCGACGCAACGCGAASAACCUUACCAGGGCUUGGCAUCCCUUGUCCGCUAUGGAAACAUAGUCUUCAGACCUUCGGGUUUGACAAGGUGACAGGUGGUGCAUGGUUGUCGUCAGCUCGUGUCGUGAGAUGUUGGGUUAAGUCCCGCAACGAGCGCAACCCCUAUUUCCAGUUGCCAGCACAUAAUGGUGGGAACUCUGGAGGAACUGCCGGUGACAAACCGGASSAAGGUGGGGAUGACGUCAAAUCAUCAUGCCCCUUAUGUCCUGGGCUACACACGUGCUACAAUGGCUGGUACAGAGGGCUGCAAAACCGCGAGGUGGAGCSAAUCCCUAAAGCCAGUCUCAGUUCGGAUUGUAGGCUGAAA
rnacentral:rRNA from 1 species